CUGCCGAUCCAAAGGCCUGGCUCUGGAGCGAUCCCAAACUGCUUGUAGCAUCAAGAUCAAGAUCACAUCUAUGUCUAGGUAGUACAUGAUUUCUCACUACAGAGGCAGCCUGCCAGCCAUUGAGCCAGCCCCCAUAAAGAUGACAUGUAUUCCUGCCUCGUCAUGUUUUCCACCUUUCUCCCCAUCUCAGCUGUCAUGCAGCCACCUGACUCGCCACACAGACAUGAAGUUUAUGGUAGAGCAGGUGAGCAAGGAUUGAGGAUGGUUAGGCAGACUGGGUAGUCUCCACAGCCAGCCUUGAUAGUAUCCACACCACAUCUCACACAGGAUGUGCUGCACUGGUGGCGUGGCAUCAAGGGAAGUGCCUCUUUGUAUCCCUGCCCAGCACUUUAUUGAAUUCAUAAAGGUACUCAAGAAGAGAGUGGCACACACACUUUGCUGCACUCCAAUUGCCAUGUAUUCUAUCAAAUGAUGUCCUUCUCGAGGCUAAGGGACAGUAGGGAUUU